rnacentral:rRNA from 1 species
CCUGCGGAAGGAUCAUUAAUGAAUUCACUAUGGAGUUGUUGCUGGCCUCUAGGGGCAUGUGCACGCUUCACUAGUCUUUCAACCACCUGUGAACUUUUGAUAGAUCUGUGAAGUCGUCUUUCAAGUCGUCAGACUUGGUUUGCUGGGAUUUAAACGUCUCGGUGUGACAACGCAGUCUAUUUACUUAACACACCCCAAAUGUAUGUCUACGAAUGUCAUUUAAUGGGCCUUGUGCCUAUAAACCAUAAUACAACUUUCAACAACGGAUCUCUUGGCUCUCGCAUCGAUGAAGAACGCAGCGAAAUGCGAUAAGUAAUGUGAAUUGCAGAAUUCAGUGAAUCAUCGAAUCUUUGAACGCACCUUGCGCCCCUUGGUAUUCCGAGGGGCAUGCCUGUUUGAGUGUCAUUAAAUUCUCAAACUCACUUUGGUUUUUUCCAAUUGUGAUGUUUGGAUUGUUGGGGGCUGCUGGCCUUGACAGGUCGGCUCCUCUUAAAUGCAUUAGCAGGACUUCUCAUUGCCUCUGCGCAUGAUGUGAUAAUUAUCACUCAUCAAUAGCACGCAUGAAUAGAGUCCAGCUCUCUAAUCGUCCG